rnacentral:rRNA from 1 species
AUUGAACGCUGGCGGCAGGCCUAACACAUGCAAGUCGAGCGGGGUUUUCGGACCUAGCGGCGGACGGGUGAGUAAUGCGUAGGAAGCUACCCGAUAGAGGGGGAUACCAGUUGGAAACGACUGUUAAUACCGCAUAAUGUCUACGGACCAAAGUGUGCGACCUUCGGGGCAAAUGUCAUCGCAUGCGUCGACGUGGGAUUAGCUAGUUGGCGAGGUAAUGGCACACCAAGGCGACGAUCCCUAGCUGGUUUUAGAGGAUGAUGAGCCACACUGGCACUGAGACACGGUCCAGACUCCUACGGGGGGCAGCAGUGGGGAAUAUUGGACAAUGGGCGCAAGCCUGAUCCAGCCAUGCCGCGUGUGUGAAGAAGGCCUUCGGGUUGUAAAGCACUUUCAGUAGGGAGGAAGCGUUGUGUGUUAAUAGUACACAGCGUUGACGUUACCUACAGAAGAAGCACCGGCUAACUCUGUGCCAGCAGCCGCGGUAACAC